AUAUAUUCCUCCCUUCUUCACGGUGACAUGAACGUCUAUGAGUCAUGUAGACCUUCUGAAAACACUGGUGGACGGACAGAUGACUACAGAAAUAUCUCUCUUCAGCUCAGAAGUGUCGAACAGAGGAGAAAGCGCGAUGAUCCAGAGGAAACCUCUGACUACCAUAAUGUAGAUCCAAACUCAGCUACAGGUCCCUAAAGGGAGGCACGGCAUCAAUAAAACAAGAGAAGGUCAACAGCAACAUGAAAAAACAAACAAAAAC